CUCACGGAUAGCACACCCAUUUCCUCAAACCGUAGGGAAUAAUAUUGCAUUCGUGUACACCUAUCUGAAAUAUUAUAAAUACCUAACAUCGGUGCAAGGAUACCUACAUAUGUAUAUGCAUAUUUUUUUGUUCACUAUUAACAGUGGUAUUCACUUUUUCGACCACUAUUAAUCAAGCAGUGUUCGUGAAAACAACGAAAUUAUCAUACGGUUUUCGAGCGUCAAUUUUAUUUACAAGACAACAACGAGUAUGCAAUAUGCAUUUCGGCAAUUAUUGUAUAUUUAUUGACAGAAGUCUAGAGACUAGAGUGCUAAGUAGUAGCGCCAACGGUGAAUUGAAUUUAAAUAUGUCACCUGCGUACUACUGCUUACCAUUCUGGCCUCCUAAUUACGUCUAACGAAUAAAUUCAAAAAAUAAAUGAUACAUAAUCAUACAAAAUAAAAGUUAAUUAUCUACUAAUUUACUUAUAACUGUACAACUGCAUAUAAAUUUAUUAUAUAUAUUGAUGUACAGAUAUACAACUUUUAUUUCUGUAAAUUCAAGUAUAUGGAAUUAAUAUUACAAAUGUAAUCAUUAUUUAUAAUCUUUUUCUACUAUAAGAACUAAUAAAAUACUUGAACUUGUUUUUUAAAACCAACAGUGUAUAUUAUACCUAUUAAAUAGUAAUUAUAUAGAUUUAUCUACAUAGGCUAUAUUGUAGUUGUCUAUAUAAUUAAAUAUAAUACAUAGAAUUUAUAGGUACAUUCAAUAAAAUAAAGAUAUAUUGUUGUUUA